rnacentral:pre_miRNA from 1 species
CAAGUAUUCCCUCCAUUCCAAAUUACUCGUCGCAGAAAUGGAUGUAUCUAGAAUUAAAAUACAUCUAGAUACAUCCAUACCCGCGACAAGUAAUUCGGAACGGAGGAAGUAUGUG